ensembl:lncRNA
UGGGGAUCUGUGUGGCCGCCUGACCCUCUUCUCCACAUUCUGAGGAAAGAGGACUUAACACGGCUGGCCUUUCAGAGCAGAGGGUCUCCCCCACAGCAGGCCCUCACUGAAGAAGUGCUAAUUCGCAUGGCUUGAUGAGUGGCGUGUACAUCUGCACCCGGGAUCUGAACCCACAAACCCCAGGCCGCUGAAGCAAAGCACGUGAACUUAACCACUAUGCCACCAGACUUCCUGAGUUCCAGCCUUAGCCUCCUGCGAGGUCAACGGACUCAGGGUGAAGAAGCCCCAGUGGAUACAGAGAGCAUAUUCCUGAUUAGGGAGCUUUACAAGCGGCCUGCAAAAGAAAAGGCAAAACUCCCAGCCUCUGUUUCAGAGAAGACAUCUCCGUCCAUCGUUUGGGGCUGAAUAAGCUACCUUCCUGGAUCACUUUUCUGAACAGCCGUGCCUUGGAAGGGGGCCUGAGCUGGACACCAGGGGACCUGGUGCUUUCACAGCCCUGCUGAGGAUUAGCUGUCUGACCUUGGAAAAGUCCUUUAAUCUCUUGGGGCUUCAGUUUCCUCUCCACUUAAUCUCUGAGGAACUUUCCAGUUCAAAAAUUAUUCUAUGACAGCAUUAUGCUUAAAGGAAAAGCAUUCUUGUGGACUUCCAACACAGUCUAUACCAAAACUGAUAUAUAAUAAUGUACACCUGAAAUUACACAAUGUUAUAAACCAAUAUGACCUCAACAAAAUAAAAAAUAAAAUAAAAUUAUAACAAAAAAAUUACUUAAAUACACAAACUUAGAACUAGAUAUAAACUCCUCAUGCAAAUAAUUUUAGAGAUUUGAAACAAGC